rnacentral:rRNA from 1 species
GAAAGUAGUUGAGGGCGGAUGGCGGAUGCCUAGGCUCACAGAGGCGAUGAAGGACGUGACAAGCUGCGACAAGCCGCGGGUAGGUGCAGAUGACCUUUGAUCCGCGGAUAUCCGAAUGGGACAACCCGGCCGUCUGAAGGACGGCCACUCCCCUGCUUUUUGGGGAGGGCCAACCCGGGGAACUGAAACAUCUUAGUACCCGGAGGAAAGGAAAAUAAGAAUGAUUCCCCCAGUAGCGGCGAGCGACCGGGGAGUAGCCCAAACCCGCCGCGUGGCGACGCGCGGCGGGGGUUGUAGGACCGCAUGGAUUGCACUCAGAGCGCGAACGGAACCGUCUGGAAAGCCGGGCCGCAGCGGGUGAGAGCCCCUUACGUGAAGCGCGACGAGGCAGAGCGGACUCCUGAGUAGGGCGGGACACGUGUAAUCCUGCCUGAAUCCGCCGGGCCCAUCCGGCAAGGCUAAAUACUCCUGUGAGACCGAUAGCGAACCAGUACCGUGAGGGAAAGGUGAAAAGCACUUCGAUGAGAAGAGUGAAAUAGUUCCUGAAACCAUCCGCCUACAAGCGGUCGGAGCUGCUUCUUGCAGUGACGGCGUGCCUUUUGCAUAAUGAACCUACGAGUUUCCGUCUCCGGCGAGGCUGCGGGUCUCGAGACCCUUCGCCGCAGUGAAAGCGAGCCUGAACAGGGCGCGUCCCCCUUUUUUGGGGGGCACAGUCGGAGGCGGCAGACGCGAAACCAAGUGAUCUACACAUGUCCAGGAUGAAGUUCCGGUAACACGGAAUGGAGGUCCGAACGGAUAAGCGUUGAAAAGCUUCCCGAUGAGGUGUGUGUAGGAGUGAAAGGCCAAUCAAACUUGGAGAUAGCUCGUACUCCCCGAAAGGCAUUUAGGUGCCGCGUGCAUGGUUUCCCGUUGGGAGGUAGAGCGACCGAUAGGAUGCGAGGGCUUCACCGCCUGUCAAGUCCUGACGAACUCCGAAUGCCCACGGGCUGCACAUGUGCAGUAAGGGGGCGGGUGCUAAGGUCCGUCCCCGAGAGGAGAAGAAUCCAGACCGCCGUCUAAGGCCCCGGAAUUCUGCCUGAGUUAGUCUAACGAAGUCCGGUCCCGGUGACAGCCAGGAUGUUGGCUUGGAAGCAGCCAUUCAUUCAAAGAGUGCGUAACAGCUCACUGGUCGAGGGUCCGGGCGUGGAUAAUAAUCGGGUAUAAGGCAGAUGCCGAAGACGCGGGAUAGCAUAUUUGAAAAGUAUCGGUAGGGGAGCAUUCCACGUGCGUCGAAUGGUGAGGGCGACCGAUCCUGGAGCGCGUGGAAACGCAAAUGUAGGUAUAAGUAACGAGAAGAGGGGUAGGAUCCCCCUCCGCCGCAAGACCAAGGUUUCCCGGGCGAUGCCAGUCAUCCCGGGGUCAGUCGGGCCCUAAGCCCCAGCCGAAUGGCGAAGGCGAUGGCAGACACGGUCAACAUUCCGUGACUACCUUCAGGAGCGAUGUGGAGACGGAGCAGUGACACGGCCGCGGACUGACGGAAUAGUCCGUUGAAGGGCGUAGGCGUCGACAUUCCCAGGCAAAUCCGGGAAUGGAGCCGACCCUGACAGUAUGGACUCCCCUCCGGGGGCGUCCAAUAGCGCCGGUAAUCAUACUUCCAAGAAAAUCCGCUAAGCACAUCCUGAGGGUACCCGUACCGCAGACGGACACACGUAGUCGGGUAGAACAUACUGAGGCGUUGAGAGACUCAUGGUCAAGGAACUAGGCAAACUGACCCCGUAACUUCGGGAGAAGGGGUCCUCGUGGCGACACGAGGCGCAGAGAAUAGGUCCAGGCAACUGUUUAACAAAAACACAGGGCUGUGCCAACACGAAAGUCGAUGUAUACAGCCUGACACCUGCCCGGUGCCGGAAGGUUAAGAGGAGAGCUCAGGGCUUCCGCCCGAAGGUUUGAAUUGAAGCCCCGGUAAACGGCGGCCGUAACUAUAACGGUCCUAAGGUAGCGAAAUUCCUUGUCGGGUAAGUUCCGACCUGCACGAAUGGUGUAAUGAUCCGGACGCUGUCUCGACCAUGAUCUCAGUGAAAUUGUAGUAUCGGUGAAGAUGCCGAUUACCCGCGAUGGGACGAAAAGACCCCGUGAACCUUUACUACAGCUUAGCGUUGACCCCGGCCAUCCGCUGUGUAGGAUAGGCCGGAGGCUUUGAAGCGUCGGCGCCAGCCGUCGUGGAGCCCCCCUUGAAAUACGGCCCUUCGGCUGUCUGGGGUCUAACGCGCUGAUUUGCGCGGACACCGCUUGGCGGGUAGUUUGACUGGGGUGGUCGCCUCCAAAAGCGUAACGGAGGCUUCCAAAGGUGCCCUCGGGUCGAUUGGCAACCGACCUCAACGAGUGCAAUGGCAUAAGGGCGCUCGACUGGGAGGCAGACAUGCCGAGCAGGCAGGAAACUGGGGCAUAGUGAUCCGGUGCAAGUGUAUGGAAACUGCAUCGCUCAAAGGAUAAAAGGUACUCCGGGGAUAACAGGCUGAUCCCCCCCGAGAGCUCAUAUCGACGGGGUGGUUUGGCACCUCGAUGUCGGCUCGUCACAUCCUGGGGCUGGAGAAGGUCCCAAGGGUUGGGCUGUUCGCCCAUUAAAGUGGCACGCGAGCUGGGUUCAGAACGUCGUGAGACAGUUCGGUCUCUAUCUAUCGUGGGCGCUGGAGUUUUGCGUGGCUCCGACACUAGUACGAGAGGACCGUGUCGGACAGACCUCCGGUUUGCCGGUUGUGCCGCCAGGUGCACCGCCGGGUAUCCGCGUCUGGAUCGGAUAAGCGCUGAAAGCAUCUAAGUGCGAAGCCGGCCGCAAGAUUAGAACUCCUUCGAGGGUCGUCCGAGACUAGGACGUCGAUAGGGCGCAGGUGUAUAGACGGCGACGUCACAGCCGAGCGCUACUAAUUGCCCGAAACUUUCCUUG